AACUUUCAUGCAUGCCUAACUUUCCUAAAGAACUAAAAUUUUAUGGUAUGAUUUGCAUGCUUUAUUAGAAAUACAUUUCAUGUCAUUAUUAAGCUAACAUAACAAUUUAUUGAAAUAAUCAAAUUUUAUUCAUACUUAAAUUUAGCUUACUUAACAAAAUUCGAAUUUAUUGAAUAAUAAUAUAUCAUAUUCUUAAUUAAAAGAAAAAAUUUAUUCUGAGUGGAAAUAAUUUCAAUUUUUG
rnacentral:lncRNA from 1 species